UACGUAGGGUCCGAGCGUUGUCCGGAAUUAUUGGGCGUAAAGGGCUCGUAGGCGGUCUGUUGCGUCGGGAGUGAAAACUUACAGCUUAACUGCGAGCGUGCUUUCGAUACGGGCAGACUUGAGGCAUUCAGGGGAGAACGGAAUUCCUGGUGUAGCGGUGAAAUGCGUAGAUAUCUGGAGGAAUACCGGUGGCGAAGGCGGCAUCCUGGACCGACACUGACGCUGAGGCGCGAAAGCUAGGGGAGCAAACGGG
rnacentral:rRNA from 1 species